AUUGAACGCUGGCGGCAUGCUUUACACAUGCAAGUCAAACGAAGCCUUCGGGCUUAGUGGCGCACGGGUGCGUAACGCGUGGGAAUCUGCCCUUUGGUUCGGAAUAACAGUUGGAAACGACUGCUAAUACCGGAUGAUGACGAAAGUCCAAAGAUUUAUCGCCAGAGGAUGAGCCCGCGUAGGAUUAGCUAGUUGGUGUGGUAAAGGCGCACCAAGGCGACGAUCCUUAGCUGGUCUGAGAGGAUGAUCAGCCACACUGGGACUGAGACACGGCCCAGACUCCUACGGGAGGCAGCAGUGGGGAAUAUUGGACAAUGGGCGAAAGCCUGAUCCAGCAAUGCCGCGUGAGUGAUGAAGGCCCUAGGGUUGUAAAGCUCUUUUACCCGGGAUGAUAAUGACAGUACCGGGAGAAUAAGCCCCGGCUAACUCCGUGCCAGCAGCCGCCGUAA
rnacentral:rRNA from 1 species